ACUUAAGGGCUAAGAGCAAGAGGGAUCGAUAUCGAGUCUGACUCCAGCAUGGUGGUUAAAGUAUUUGCGCGACAACUAAUGCACUCGCUAUUGGGAAGUGGAAGCUCAAAUUGCAGAAAUCAAAGAGACUUUGUUGACCAUGCCAAACUGUAGUGUCAUACUUAUUUCCAGGAAUGCUAACGCAGCUGCUGGUUUUUUUUAACAUGCUUUAGAGCA
rnacentral:lncRNA from 1 species